GGCUCGAUAGCUCAGUUGGUAGAGCAGCGGAUUGAAAAUCCGCGUGUCGGCGGUUCGAUCCCGUCUCGAGCCACCA
rnacentral:tRNA from 1 species